CAAAUACUCAUGAAACUGAUUGCCAGCAUGUAGUAGCCUUGAAGGUCCAAUACAAUUAGGGGAAAGUGGUUUAUUACAAGUGAUAACCUAGACUAAAAGUGGCGGCCAUGUGAGCUUAAAUCUAAUCAAAAACCAUGACUUGGAUGACCAACUGAAAACAUAACCGAAUAGCUAGUCUUACCGAGCAAAUCAAGGUCCAUAGGUGCUGAGAAUGCAGGAACUUGCUGGCUGGAGGGCGAGAGUGGUCAUGGUUACAUUAAUAAACUUAUUUAUCAGACUUUUAUUCAUUGUGGUUGUUUGGAUAAUAUUUACAGUAUGAUACAUUAACGCUUCCGCUGAACUUAUGGUUUUUGAACAACUUAUGUUUGGGAUUUCAGUAUAAUUAAG